GGGGAGUACAUCGAAUUUGACAUAUUGAACUUCAAUCAUGGUCUAGGCUUGAGGACACGUUUAGGCUCUCCAGCCAAAAUUCAUAGGAGAUGUUUUAAUGAGUUCAGAUUUGCUUUUGCAACUCCUUUCCAGUUUGUUUUUAUGCAGCUUCUUAGCAAUGGUCAGUUUCUAGAUCUAUCAGUUGGGGAUUUGAUAUUGACAUCUGCCUUGAACUUGGAUUACCUCCGUACUUUGUCAAUUGAAGAGAGCACAGGUGAUUUUAUCGCACUGGCACUCUUUUAUGCUUACAUAUUGUACUGGAAGAAUUUUAGACAGGCAACUCUAAUAAGCAAGUGUGUUACCAAUUUUUAUUCAGAUCCAUCUAAGAAGUUCAUAUUAAUAAA